UACGUAGGGUGCAGGCGUUAUUCGGAAUUACUGGGCGUAAAGCGUGCGCAGGCGGUUUCUUAAGUCAGAUGUGAAAGUCCCGGGCUUAACCUGGGAACUGCGUUUGAAACUGGGAGACUUGAGUGUGGCAGAGGGGGGUGGAAUUCCACGUGUAGCAGUGAAAUGCGUAGAUAUGUGGAGGAACACCGAUGGCGAAGGCAGCCCCCUGGGCUAACACUGACGCUCAUGCACGAAAGCGUGGGGAGCAAACAGG
rnacentral:rRNA from 1 species